rnacentral:rRNA from 1 species
AGCGAACGCUGGCGGCAGGCUUAACACAUGCAAGUCGAACGGGCUUCUUCGGAAGUCAGUGGCAGACGGGUGAGUAACACGUGGGAACGUUCCCUUCGGUUCGGAAUAACUCAGGGAAACUUGAGCUAAUACCGGAUACGCCCUUAUGGGGAAAGGUUUACUGCCGAAGGAUCGGCCCGCGUCUGAUUAGCUUGUUGGUGGGGUAACGGCCUACCAAGGCGACGAUCAGUAGCUGGUCUGAGAGGAUGAUCAGCCACACUGGGACUGAGACACGGCCCAGAAUCCUACGGGAGGCAGCAGUGGGGAAUAUUGGAACAGGGGCGCAAGCCUGAUCCAGCCAUGCCGCGUGAGUGAUGAAGGCCUUAGGGUUGUAAAGCUCUUUUGUCCGGGACGAUAAUGACGGUAACGGAAGAAUAAGCCCCGGCUAACUUCGUG